UGCCUGGAAGCUUUCCUGAGGGCGAGUUCCCUCACCCAGGGACACAGUCCCUGUGGAAUCUCAUGGGGAGUGUUAACCGUUGAAUGAAGAGACAGGGGAUUGUAGUGUUGCAGUGUGGUGCGUGAAUCUUCUAAAGUAGUACCCCUGUCUUUCAAUGGUCACCUGCUCCUCCCUGGAAAAUGUAAAGGUUUCAACAUCUUGCUUUAAUAAAUUACUUGCCUUGCA